CCUACGGGAGGCAGCAGUGGGGAAUAUUGGACAAUGGGGGCAACCCUGAUCCAGCCAUGCCGCGUGAGUGAAGAAGGCCCUAGGGUUGUAAAGCUCUUUCAGAUGUGAGGAUGAUGACAGUAGCAUCAGAAGAAGCACCGGCUAACUUCGUGCCAGCAGCCGCGGUAAUACGAAGGGUGCUAGCGUUGUUCGGAAUUACUGGGCGUAAAGGGCGUGUAGGCGGAUGAUCAAGCUAGGGGUGAAAGCCCAGGGCCCAACCCUGGAACUGCCUUUAGAACUGAUUGUCUAGAAUCCGUAAGGGGAGUGUGGAAUUCCUAGUGUAGAGGUGAAAUUCGUAGAUAUUAGGAAGAACACCAGUGGCGAAGGCGGCACUCUGGUACGGUAUUGACGCUGAGGCGCGAAAGCGUGGGGAGCAAACAGGAUUAGAUACCCUGGUAGUCCACGCCGUAAACGAUGUCUGCUAGCCGUUUGGACACUUAGUGUCUGGGUGGCGCCGCUAACGCAUUAAGCAGACCGCCUGGGGAGUACGGUCGCAAGAUUAAAACUCAAAGGAAUUGACGG
rnacentral:rRNA from 1 species